rnacentral:rRNA from 1 species
CUGCUAUCGGGGUGGGACUAAGCCAUGCAAGUCUAUGCUCACCCUUGUGAGCAUGGCGUACGGCUCAGUAACACGUAGCUAACCUGCCCUAGAGAGAGGGAUAUCCUCGGGAAACUGAGGGUAAACCCUCAUAGGUAACGAGUUCUGGAAUGACUCGUUACUGAAAGUAGGCUGGGAAAAUGGUCCUAGCCUAGCUCUAGGAUGGGGCUGCGGCCGAUCAGGUAGUUGGUGAGGUAACGGCUCACCAAGCCUGUGACCGGUACGGGCCGUGAGAGCGGGAGCCCGGAGAUGGACUCUGAGACAAGAGUCCAGGCCCUACGGGGCGCAGCAGGCGCGAAACCUCCGCAAUGCGCGUAAGCGCGACGGGGCUACCCCGAGUGCCAUCUACAUGAUGGCUUUUGCCUAGUGUAAAAAGCUAGGCGAAUAAAGGGGGGGCAAGACGGGUGUCAGCCGCCGCGGUAAUACCAGC